rnacentral:rRNA from 1 species
UACGAAGGCCCCGAGCGUUAUCCGGAAUUAUUGGGCGUAAAGGGUGCGUAGGUGGUUUUGCGCGUCUGUUGUUAAAUGUCACCGCUCAACGGUGUCACCGCAAUGGAUACGGCAAGACUAGAGGGUGCGAGAGGUCUGUGGAACUCACGGUGUAGGGGUGAAAUCCGUUGAUAUCGUGGGGAACACCAAAGGCGAAGGCAGCAGACUGGCGCAUUUCUGACACUGAGGCACGAAAGCGUGGGGAGCAAAAAGG